UCCGUGUCUCUGUUCAGAACUCUUUCCUCAUCCGCUUGCGGCGCCUAACCUAGCAGCAGCCGGCCAACGAGAGUCCACUCCGCCUCCACUCCAGCUUUGAGCUCGUACGGUCGCACCUCACUAGCCAGAGCAUUGCCCGCGUCCACUCCUCCCCCCCUUCAGAUAUGUCCAUCGACACUCGACAGUCCCACUCCCAAAUUACAGAAGCUCAGCGCCGUCCACUUUACUCUCCAGCUCUUCCCCUCGAAUUCGACGAUGAAGUUCUAGUUUCUCAUAUCUAAUCUCCCCUCCUCCUCUGUUCUCAUCUAGCUCGUGGGUCCUCCCUCGUGGGUCGUCAAUAGUUUCAGGAGUCCAUGCAGAAUCUCAGUAAUUAUACACGGUUUAAAUUUGGUUGACAGUGAUGGAAAAGGGCUAGUGUUUUGUGACUGUUAAAGAUUUAGUUGGAAAGGAGAUUGAUGCUUGUGAUUGUUCUACACUCCAGCAACUUAAGCAGUUAAGCUCAAGACAAAGAGGAAUCGAAGAGUCUAAUCAUGAGAGCAGUUCCAUUAGAGAAGCUAUGGCAAAGACAUGUUGGAGUAAUGUUCUAAGCCGAUCUUAUUUUGGAAAGGGAGAGGCCGUUAGAAGUUCUGUAAACUUGCAUGCAUUAAGGUUACUUUCUUCAUGAUGAUCAUACUUGAUCCUUUGGUUACAUUUAUUCAUACUGUGUUUGUUGUGUUGUAGAUUUGUUUUGCUAUAUAUGAGAAACAGAUUCAUAAUAAGUUUAAUGGUCAACAUAAUAAUACUAUAAUAUAAGAAGUCUUCAAUGAAAUAAUAUAUUAUGGUUUGAAAAUA